UGCAAGUGAAAACCACACUUC
rnacentral:piRNA from 1 species